GACGAACGCUGGCGGCGUGCUUAACACAUGCAAGUCGAACGGAAAGGCCCUGCUUGCAGGGUACUCGAGUGGCGAACGGGUGAGUAACACGUGGGUGAUCUGCCCUGCACUUCGGGAUAAGCCUGGGAAACUGGGUCUAAUACCGGAUAGGAGCCAUUUUUAGUGUGAUGGUUGGAAAGUUUUUUCGGUGUAGGAUGAGCUCGCGGCCUAUCAGCUUGUUGGUGGGGUAAUGGCCUACCAAGGCGGCGACGGGUAGCCGGCCUGAGAGGGUGGACGGCCACAUUGGGACUGAGAUACGGCCCAGACUCCUACGGGAGGCAGCAGGGGGGAAUAUUGCACAAUGGGCGCAAGCCUGAAGCAGCGACGCCGCGUUGGGGAUGAAGGCCUUCGGGUUGUAAACUCCUUUCGCUAGGGACGAAGCUUUUUGUGACGGUACCUAGAUAAGAAGCACCGGCUAACUACGUG
rnacentral:rRNA from 1 species